UUAUUGUUCAAUGCUAUGUUUCUUCGAAUUUGACCAUUGUUACAUGAAGGCCAUGUACAACAUCCAACACAUUUGAUACUUUUUAUAUGCAAAUUGAGAAGUAAUUUCAAGUUGUUCAACACAUGUUUUAUGAUCUCAUUUCACAAAGUUUCCAUUUCUCUCUUGGAUACAGCCUUGAUUCUUCUUACAGGUGUUCGUCACACAAGAUCAAUCUUAUUUGAAGUUAAUAAAUUAUCUCAAAGUUGUUUAUGUGGCAUAUUGACUUGCAAUUUCUGACAGUUUUGUUAGUUAGAAUCAUGAUUAUUCUGUAGGACUUCACUGGGAUCUUGAAUAUUCAAAGAACUUCAAUAACGUGGACAAGUCAAUUAUGCAAUCCUAUUCCUGCAAGUACAGAGGCUAUUUUUGUGACUUUAACUGUGGUCAUCCAACAAAUUUACUGUAGUGCCAAAACUUAUCCCCAAUACAUGAAUAAUUACGUUCCUCUAAAUUAAAAAAAAGGAAUAUGACCAAUUUCUGAAUGUUAGAUUGUAUAGAAAUCUAAGUCAUAAACUUUGAGAUCAGCAUUGAUGUUUGAGAUGGGAUCAGGAUUAUGAGUCUAGCAUUGAACUUGCAUCAUGUAGAGCAGACAGCUAUGUUUGUCCAUUUCUUUUUCUCCCAGAGGGCAACCCUGCAUCUAACAUCACUGAUUGGCAUCAAUGUAAAGUCUAGCUUGUCCAUUUCUUUUUGUGCUCUUUGUAAGCAUGCUCAUGGACUCGUAUUUGCAAGGUAUAAUUGGCAUAUCCCAUAUUGGCAGGAGCCAUAUGUUCCAUCCUUUCUUUUCUAUUGGCAGAAAUUUUAACCUAGUGUUGCAUGUAUAAUUUGUUUGUUUUUGUUUUUUGGUUUGAAGUUCCAGAAAUGCAAGAUGUUACUGUUCUGCACUUCUAUGACAAUGUGGAGCAAGUUAAUUUUGUAAUUUUACUGGUCUCGGAAGGUGCUGUCUAAAUUACAUGUUGUUCAUACAGCUACUUGUGAACUGCUAAUAGUUUUUUUUCUUGCUGAAGUGAAUCAAGCAUGUUAUUCUCCAAUCCGUGGAAAAUUUCUUUGGACCCCAUAUUUAGUGUUCUCUUUGACUGCUUGCUGCUGUAGCCACAUGGAAUCAGAUUCUGUGAAAAUUGCUGUUGAAGGAGUUUGAAUUGUGUAAGAAUGAAAACUGUGAUUUGUUUAUCAUGGACACAAGCAAGCAUCACAGACAGGAAACUUCUCUUUUUAAAGAAAUGCAUCUAGUGUCAGAAGCAACGCUGUUGAUGUAGCACAAGCUUUCUUACAAACGUAGCAGUUGGAGCUUUGGUGAAGCAGAAGGAGCUGAUGUAUUUAGUGUGCAAGCCAUCUGUUGAUGAACUUGGUAUACUGUCAUGUGGAGGUCUUGUCUUGCUACCUGGUUUAAUGCCCAAGUGAUCCCUAAAGGCCAUGAAAAGGAAUGUCAACCAACAAUCAAGCUUUAUACAAUGACUAUGAUGAUGAAUUCCAUGACAAAUGCAGAGCCUGAAUCUGAUGAAUGAAUGAAGCCUGUGCAUUAUGGAUUGCGAAAAUGCUUAGAAAAGGGAUUUGUAGCAAGAUGAUGCAGCUCAGGAUGCCAAAGAAAGGUGAAUUGAGCACAUUGUCCUGGAAUACGUGAAUAGAAGAUGAUCCCAAGUAUUGACAUGUGAGUUGUCGUUCCUGCUGGGAUUAAUCCACGGUUUCUCUCAGACAAUCUUUGAUUAAUUUUUGAUGUCUUUGCCUUGUUGUGCCUCCUUGCAAUUAGUAUGAUUAUUAUGGAGGUUCAAUCUACCAGCCCGAGUGUACAAAUAAAAAAUAUUAGAUAUUUGGGUUAGAUUUAAGAUGGCUUCAGAUACAUGAAUGGACAAGGGAAACUUGCAACCAUUCAGGAGUGGCAAUAGAUUUCUUUUUUCGUACUACCGUGUAGAGCUCCAAGUUUUUUGUCUUGCCAAUAAAGUUUGUAUGUUUAUGAUA